CCAGUCGAACGAACUUCCGUUAAUUGAUUAUGACGUACUUGUACUGAUUGAGAUUUUAACACGAAGUGAGUGGCGAACGGGUGAGUAACACGUGGGUAACCUGCCCAGAAGUAGGGGAUAACACCUGGAAACAGAUGCUAAUACCGUAUAACAGAGAAAACCGCAUGGUUUUCUUUUAAAAGAUGGCUCUGCUAUCACUUCUGGAUGGACCCGCGGCGUAUUAGCUAGUUGGUGAGGUAAAGGCUCACCAAGGCAGUGAUACGUAGCCGACCUGAGAGGGUAAUCGGCCACAUUGGGACUGAGACACGGCCCAGACUCCUACGGGAGGCAGCAGUAGGGAAUCUUCCACAAUGGACGCAAGUCUGAUGGAGCAACGCCGCGUGAGUGAAGAAGGGUUUCGGCUCGUAAAGCUCUGUUGUUAAAGAAGAACGUGGGUAAGAGUAACUGUUUACCCAGUGACGGUAUUUAACCAGAAAGCCACGGCUAACUACGUGCCAGCAGCCGCGGUAAUACGUAGGUGGCAAGCGUUAUCCGGAUUUAUUGGGCGUAAAGCGAGCGCAGGCGGUCUUUUAAGUCUAAUGUGAAAGCCUUCGGCUCAACCGAAGAAGUGCAUUGGAAACUGGGAGACUUGAGUGCAGAAGAGGACAGUGGAACUCCAUGUGUAGCGGUGAAAUGCGUAGAUAUAUGGAAGAACACCAGUGGCGAAGGCGGCUGUCUGGUCUGCAACUGACGCUGAGGCUCGAAAGCAUGGGUAGCGAACAGGAUUAGAUACCCUGGUAGUCCAUGCCGUAAACGAUGAUUACUAAGUGUUGGAGGGUUUCCGCUCUUCAGUGCUGCAGCUAACGCAUUAAGUAAUCCGCCUGGGGAGUACGACCGCAAGGUUGAAACUCAAAAGAAUUGACGGGGGCCG
rnacentral:rRNA from 1 species